CAGUAGCCGCGGUAAUACGAAGGGGGCUAGCGUUGCUCGGAAUCACUGGGCGUAAAGGGUGCGUAGGCUGGUCUUUAAGUCAGGGGUGAAAUCCUGGAGCUCAACUCCAGAACUGCCUUUGAUACUGAAGAUCUUGAGUUCGGGAGAGGUGAGUGGAACUGCGAGUGUAGAGGUGAAAUUCGUAGAUAUUCGCAAGAACACCAGUGGCGAAGGCGGCUCACUGGCCCGAUACUGACGCUGAGGCACGAAAGCGUGGGGAGCAAACAGGAUUAGAUACCCGAGUAGUCCCUGUCUCUUAUAC
rnacentral:rRNA from 1 species